rnacentral:rRNA from 1 species
AACGCUAGCUACAGGCUUAACACAUGCAAGUCGAGGGGCAGCACAGUGUAGCAAUACAUGGGUGGCGACCGGCGCACGGGUGCGUAACGCGUAUCCAACCUUCCCGUUACUCUUGGAUAGCCUUCCGAAAGGGAGAUUAAUACAAGAUGGUAUUCAAAUUCCGCAUGUUAUUUGAAUUAAAGAUUUAUCGGUAACGGAUGGGGAUGCGUGACAUUAGAUAGAUGGCGGGGUAACGGCCCACCAUGUCUACGAUGUCUAGGGGUUCUGAGAGGAAGGUCCCCCACACUGGAACUGAGACACGGUCCAGACUCCUACGGGAGGCAGCAGUGAGGAAUAUUGGUCAAUGGCCGGAAGGCUGAACCAGCCAAGUAGCGUGAAGGAUGAAGGUUCUAUGGAUUGUAAACUUCUUUUAUACGGGAAUAAAACCUCCCACGUGUGGGAGCUUGUAUGUACCGUAUGAAUAAGCAUCGGCUAACUCCGUGCCAGCAGCCGCGGUAAUACGGAGGAUGCGAGCGUUAUCCGGAUUUAUUGGGUUUAAAGGGAGCGUAGACGGGAGAUUAAGUCAGCUGUGAAAGUUUGAGGCCCAACCUUAAAAUUGCAGUUGAUACUGGUUUCCUUGAGUGCGGUUGAGGUGUAUGGAAUUCGUGGUGUAGCGGUGAAAUGCUUAGAUAUCACGAAGAACUCCGAUUG